rnacentral:rRNA from 1 species
UUACGCUGUUAUCCCUAAAGUAAUUAAUUUUUAAUUUUAAAUUUUAAGAUUAUUUUAUCAUUAAUUAAUGUAAAUUUUAUAAAAAGUUUUUUAAAUUUUUAAAUUACCCCAAUUAAAUUAUUAUUUAAGUAAAAAAAAAAUUAAUUUAAUUAUUUUUUAAAAAAAUAUUAAUUAAAUUUUAUAGGGUCUUAUCGUCUAUUAAAUAUAUUUAAGUUUUUUUACUUAAAUAAUAAUUUAAAAUUUUAAUAUUAAUAAAGCAUAUAUUUCAUUAAAUCUUUUAUUCUAGUUUUUAAUUAAAAAACAAAUUAUUAUGCUACCUUUGUACAGUUAUUUAUACUGCAGCCAUUAAAAAAAAUUCAUUGGGCAGUGGGACUUAAAA